UUUGUGUUUCCCAUUGAAGGAUAACUGACUCAUUCAAACUAAAUCCUUUCUGUUUCCGGUGAUAAUGAGCAGUGUCCAUUUACUUAAAUACUCUUUCGUGGUUCUUAACUUAAGAAAUAAACGUUUGAAGGAGAAAAAGAAGCUGAAAGCUAAAAUCAUCGUCAAGGAAAAACAUGAAUAUGAGUCCGCUGUAAGCGAUGAUUGUCCUGUAAUACUAACCCAACUGCUGUGAGCUAUAACUUAAUAAGGGUCCUGGGGGCUUCUUUGAGGUUGGGGGGGUGCAGGUGAGUCACUGAAGGUCCAGCGUUAUCACAGGGUAACAAGUACACACACACACACACACACACAUUGAACCAGGGGGGCAGUGGAGAGAGAUAAGAGAGAGAGUCAUGCCUCGCCUGCGUGACCGUGACAUCACGGCUGUAUCCGUGUGCUCACUGUCGCCCCGUGCUGGAAACACACUGGCCUAAUAUAGCCAGUGUGGGCCGUGCCGUGCGCACACACACACACACACACGCACACUGGGGCAAGCCGGUUUGUCCUUGGUUGGUUGACAGCAUGUGUUUCUACGGAGGUGUGUGUUUAAGUGUGUGUUUGUCGGUGUGCGUGUGUGUGCCAUUUUAGUGAAUGAACUGACUCACAUUCUAAAAUGGCAAACCACUCAGUUCCAGAAAAACUUUACUGUCCAACCUGAGGAGAGUUUAACGUCAAGUCUUUAAAUUGCAUCAGGGACAAACAACUCAGUAAAUCACAAAUCCUAUUAAAUCUCAAUAGGAAAAUUCCUGCAUAUUAUUUGUUAGCAGUUUGGUAGCCACGGU
ensembl:lncRNA